AGAGAGGGAGAAGCAGGCUCUCCGCUGAGCAGAGACCCUGAUGUGGGGCUUGAUCCCAGAACCCUGGGAUCAUGACCUGAGCGGAAGGCAGAGGCUUAACCCACUGAGCCACCCAGGUGCCCCUAUAAUUUGAUUUUUUAAUAAUGCUGUGUUUAGCAACCAGGUGUCUAAAUUCCUGAAGACAUAGCAAAGUCCACAUGAGCUCUGGCACGCCCUGGGGUGUGGGUGCGGCUGUGGGAAGACCAUCCUGAGGCUGGGGGUGAGCCCUGGUUGCAGGACGGAGCUGCUGAGGGGUCGGCCAGUGGGUGCGCCUCUGGAGACAGGAGGGAAGCUGGGCCCGGGGCCUCAGGCCUGGCUCCCGGUUUCUGCUGGGUGGGGACUUGGGGCCUCCUCUGCUGCUUGGUGACUCACUGGGUCCAUAGCGAGAUCUAGGUCACUCACUUUCUCGUGACUCACAGGUUGGCUGCUGCUGUCUCAGGCUACUUCGCAUCGGAGGGACAUGGUUUACUGCUGACUGUCCCGGUGCCUCUCGGAGGCCCCAGUGCCUCUGUACCAUCUGGCCAGCUCCUAACAAGAGCAGGACAGGUCUGCAUAGGCCAACUUUCUGAGGACGUGAGGACUGCUUAGGAAUGAGCUGUCCCUGGCCAUGAGGCCCCGAGCAAGGUGGGGCCAGGAGUACCAGGACUAGGAACCAAGAGCUGCAGACAUUCUGAUGCCAUCACAGGCCACUUGCUGGCCACCAGCCUCCUCCCUAUUCAUCCGUGUUUCUACAGCUCUCCUGUGCACCUGCUGGGGUCCCUUUCCCCUUGGAACAUGAACGGGCACACUGAGGGACAGACUACACUCCUAACCGAAUCCUCCUGGCCACAGGUGGCCAGUGCCGUGGGGCGGGGGCACAUCCCUGGGCAGCCUGGUGCAACCCUGAGACCUGCCGUGGGUACAGCCCUGACUCCCUCUCCUCAGCCUGAAGAAGGAAACGGCUGGGAUUGGCGCAGGCAGCCGCGGGGACAGGGCUCCUGUGUCGCAGGGGAGGGCCGCUCUCUGGGUUACCGUGUCUCCGUGGGAAGGCCGCCUCAGCCCAUCACUGGGGUGGAAUGCUCUCGUCCCAUUGAGACUCCUGGACCCUGCUCCAGGCCCCAUGCUCUGGAAUUCUCCAUUUAGAGAUUGUCUGAUUGGCUUCCAUCACCCCUUCGACUACAAGCUCAGGAAGGAAGGCCCCGUGCAUUCUCUCCGUCAUGGAUCAUUCCCCGUGGAACGGCCCAGCCCCCUCUGCCGCCCCCGCCCCAGCGUCUCUCUGUGGUCCAUUUGCUUGGCUGUUGGGGUCGCUCCUUCUUCCUCUUGAGGCUUCUCUCCGCAGACCCCCUUCCACUGACGCCCACAGCCCGAUCUCCACAGCGAGCCUCCUUUCCCUGAGGAAGCGGCUGGAGCCCUCAGAGCUGAGGCUCUGCUGCAAAGCGGUGGACGGUCCUUCAGGAGCCGCGGCUGAGCGUGGGAGGCCUGCUGGAAGCCAUCUGCGGCCGGUCCAGGCCGAGAGACCCUGCCCCCUGACCGCAGCUUUCCGCGGAAGUCGAAUGCUUCAUGGGAUGAUGCCCAGACUGGGCUGUGGUUUGGAAAUGGUUUGGGAAACUGGGGGAGGGUGGCCGACUUGUGACGAUUUCGGAGUCUGGUUAUCUGAGUUUUGUCCUUUGGGCAGAAGCCAGGAGACUGCCCUGCCUGCUCUGCUGCAGCCACGGUUCUGGAAGUCACGCCCGGGAGGGGCACCGAGCCCCCCCAUCUCAGCUCAGCCCACCCAGGCCAGUGGGUGCAGGCAGAGCGGCCCCCUGAGGGUCGCCUCACCAGCUGCCCCUCACCCAGCACAAAACUUGCCACAGGCUCACCUCCUGGUCCCCUCUGGGCAUUCUCCCUCCCCGCGCCCCGGCUGGAACUCCGUCUCUAGGACAACUAAAUCGGCCCUUUCUCUCCCCCUUGUAGCCUGCACCACUGUACCGACUCCACACCCUUCGCUGUGGGACUGACUGCUCGGCCCUGGACUUACCCGCGCCUGGAGCCCUGGUUGUCUGAUCUCUCGUCCCGGGCUGCAGGCCACGGGCCACGAUGGGAGUACUCAGGCUGGCAGCCCAGGGAAGGUUAUUUGAUGCUCAAGAUGGGACUCCCGCCUCCACCUCGCCCUUGGACCCUGAAGGAAAGACCGUUUCAAAGGCGGGCAGGCUCCGGAGGCGGCCAGUCCACACCCAGGAGGAGCGCGCGGGGGCUCCCACCUGUGCAGCACCUCGAAGCCGGGCUGCUGCUGGGGGCCCUUGCGACGCCAACCCUCACCGCACAAAACUGAAUCGCAGCCCCUCGGGUCACGCGGUUGGUGGAAAUCUCCGCAAACCCUUCCUUGUCAGAGUGUGUUCAAAUCCGCAAAGCCACUGUUUCUGCUGAGCCCGCGGUCUCCCAGGGACUCCAAACAGCCUCAUUUCCUGGGGUGGACGGGGACCGUCUAUGCAGCCCACUCUGCCUUGAGAGCAUCCGCCUUCUUUAAAUGAGUGUUCUCUUUUGCUGGCCUUUUUAAACAUUUAUUUAUUUUUUUAAAAGAUUUUAUUUAUUUAUUUGACAGAGAGAAAUCACAAGUAGAUGGAGAGGCAGGCAGAGAGAGAGAGAGGGAAGCAGGCUCCCCCCUGAGCAGAGAGCCCGAUGCGGGACUCGAUCCCAGGACCCUGAGAUCAUGACCUGAGCCGAAGGCAGCGGCUUAACCCACUGAGCCACCCAGGUGCCCCUAAACAUUUAUUUUUAAAUCUUCGUGCAACAACACGUGCCUGAAACUGUGUGACCCCCACCUCAGGGCAGAGAACAGUCCCCCCAGCCCCCACCUUCCUGGUGCUUCGCAGCAAAGAGUGCCCCCCACCUGGCAACCAUGGACCUGGUCCCCACGGCCUGGCCCCACCAGAGCCCAGCUUCUCCCGCUCAGCCUGUCCCCCGGCUGUUGGCGUGGGCUGUGCCGAAGCCCAGAGCUGCGCAGAGACAUCAGGGCUCUCAGUUUUUGGUGGUUAUGAGCGCUGCUGCCGUGAACCUUCAUGUCCAAGUUUUUGCUGUAAACUCAGGUUUUAAUUUCUUUAUUAAUCCCUAGGAGGGGCUGUCCCAAACUGUGUCCCACCAGCCAUGGGCGAGGGUUCCGGCCACCCUGCGACCCAAGCCUGGGUGCUGUCAGAGGCUUUCCAGUUGUUUGUUCUUGACUUACCCUAUUCUGUGUGGUGCAUGGUGCUAACUCAUGGGACUUUAAUUUGCAUUUUCUGAUGACCAGUGGCGUCGGACACCUUUUCCUGGGCUCGCCUGCAACCCUGUUGUUCCCUGGUGACCGCUCCUUUUAGUUGGGUUGUUUGCUUUCUUAUUCUGAGUUUUGAGAGUUCUUUGUGUAACCUGCACCCGUCCUUUGUCGGGGGGUGUCUUAUGGUCCUUCUGUCUCAGUCUGUGACUUGCUGUUCUGAUUUCCUAAUAGUGUCUUUCAGAGAGCAACGUGUUCCAUUUCGAUGGAGUCCGGCGUGUUGGUUCCCACUUUCAUCGGUCCUGCUUUCAGUGCUCUGUGCAGGGCUCUUCAUCGGACACAAGGUCGUACAGACACGAGGUCGUACGCACACGAGUCGUGCAGACACGAGGUCGUACAGACACGAGUCGUGCAGACACGAGGUCGUACGCACACGAGUCGUGCAGACACGAGGUUGUACGGACACGAGGUCGUACGGACACGAGGUCGUAUGGACACGAGUCGUGCAGACACGAGGUCGUACGGGCUGCCUCGUUUUCUGCUGAGGAUUGUGCACAGGUCCAGGGGCGUGACCCACUGUGAGUUCCCUGCGUGGGGGUGGUGCCCUUUGUUCUCUUUCUGCGCGGGACGACCAGAUGCCCAGCACCACUUUCUGGAGACACGUCCUUUCUCCCCCGAAAUGUGUUUCCGCUUUACCAAAGGUCCCAGUCUCUCAGCUGGGGAUAGGAGCCCAGGGACAAGGUGGUGGGGUUCCCGUGAUGGCCACGUCAAGGCCCAGUUGUAUGUCCCCUUCCUGGGUCAGCAGAAGGUUGUCUGACCCUUCAUGGCCUCUAGGGAUGAGCGACCUGGGGGUCUACCGGCUUCGCGGGCCUCCCACGACGGGUUUGCCUGGAACCUCUGAGUCCCACGACUGGUACUGGGACCAGGACACCGGAGUAGCUAUCCUGUCUUCCCGCUCUACUGUCCUCGUGAGCCCAGCCCCUCUGCGCGGGGGUCCCCCUGGGUCUGCAUCCAAGCCACGGGCCCCUCGUUCAUGAGGCUCUCCCUAAGCUGUCACUGCCAACCUGGAGCCUGGCCCUGACCCUGACCCAGCCGGGGGUGGGGUGGAGCCGGCACCAGGCCCGUGCACCCCCAGCCACACCGGCCGAGUCCCCAGCGAGCCUCCCUAGACUGUGCCCAGCAUGGGCGGUUCAUCCCGCUGGUCACUGCUGGGUCCCCCCUGGUCACACACAGGCUGUGUUGUCGGUGCUGUGAGCACGAUCUCUCCGCCACCGCAGCCUGGCCCACCUGGCUGGGGAUCCUGAGUGCUGGCCUUCCUCAGGGAGCUGGGGCACCCGGUGGCCCUGGCCCACCUCCUUGCCAGCCUGGCUCUAGGUGGAGCCCAUCCUUCCUGAUGGUCCUGUGUUUCCUCAUGAUGGGAGGUUUCCUGGAAUGUAGGACUUUCACAUCACCUCCAAAAUUCAGGUGCAAUCCUGGGUGUACCUGGGCAACCCCCAGAUCGGGAGACUCUCCGGGAAGUAUCGCUGACCUCCACAGCUCGCCCCACCUCCGAGUGGCCGUGUCCCCCGUUCCAUCACCACCCAUCGGUUCUACCCAUGCUGGGACCUCCUGUAUGAAGUCCUGCCAUGGGUCGCGCGGUUCCCACUGCUCAGCACCAUGGUUCGGGCACCGGCUGUGCUGUGUGUGUCUGCGGUCCAGCCUCCGAAUGGUUCUGUGGUUCUGUGGUUCCAACGUCCGGCCACACCUCAGCUCAUGUGUCACCCUGUUCUCGGUGUCCGGCCGCAGUGAAUGCUCGUGCGAUCCUCGCGUGGGCACGAGCACUGGCUUCCAGUGUGUGAUGCCCAGGAGCGGGCCUGUAGCAUCCUAGGGACCCCCAGCAAUGUCUGGGCAUCCGGUGGUUCCAACACUGGUUUCACUGCAAUCCCUUGGGCGGAUGUGUAGUGAUGCCUUAUCAUGGUUUAAUGUGUAAUUUCUUGAUAAAUAAUGGAACGAAGCACUUUUCAGAUGGUUAUGAGCCUUUUGAAUAACUUUUUUGGUGGCUUAAACCAACACAAAUUUAUUUUCUUACAUCUCUUUAGGUUACAAAUCCAGCAAGCGUGUCGCCAGGCCAAGAUCAAGGUGUUGAUGGGGCUGUGCCCGUUCUGAAGCUCUAGGGAAGAAAAUCCGUGUCCUUGCCUUUUCUGGCCUCUGGAGGCUGCCGUAUUCCUGAGCUCCGGCUCCUUUGUUUCCUCCUU